GACGAACGCUGGCGGCGUGCUUAAUACAUGCAAGUCGAACGGAAAGGCCCUGCUUUUGUGGGGUGCUCGAGUGGCGGACGGGUGAGUAACACGUGAGUAACCUGCCCUUGACUUUGGGAUAACUUCAGGAAACUGGGGCUAAUACCGGAUAGGAGCUCCUGCUGCAUGGUGGGGGUUGGAAAGUUUCGGCGGUUGGGGAUGGACUCGCGGCUUAUCAGCUUGUUGGUGGGGUAGUGGCUUACCAAGGCUUUGACGGGUAGCCGGCCUGAGAGGGUGACCGGCCACAUUGGGACUGAGAUACGGCCCAGACUCCUACGGGAGGCAGCAGUGGGGAAUAUUGCACAAUGGGCGGAAGCCUGAUGCAGCAACGCCGCGUGCGGGAUGACGGCCUUCGGGUUGUAAACCGCUUUCGCCUGUGACGAAGCGUGAGUGACGGUAAUGGGUAAAGAAGCACCGGCUAACUACGUG
rnacentral:rRNA from 1 species